rnacentral:rRNA from 1 species
UGCUCUAUGUAUUUAUUUAGGGUUUAACCUGCUCAAUGAUUAUUAAAUAGCCGCAGUACAUUGACUGUGCAAAGGUAGCAUAAUCAAUUGGCUUAUAAUUGAAGUCUCGUAUGAAUGGGAAUUCGGGGGAUAACUGUCUUACACAAGUUAUACAGAAAUUACUUAGUGAGUGAAAAUUCUCAUAUAAAGAGGAAAGACGAGAAGACCCUAGAAAUUUUUUAUACAUAUAUUCUAAACAUACUCUAUUUUGUUGGGGCGACAUAGUAACAGUUAACUUACUAUAUAACAUGCUAUUUAUAAAUUGAAAGAAUAAAUUACUCUAGGGAUAACAGCAUUAUUCAACUUAUUGAGUUUGUGACCUCGAUGUUGGACUAGGAAAUAAUUUAUCUAGAAGAUAAAUUAAAAGGCUCUGUUCGAGCUUAUAAUCUCCUAC